CAGUAUCCGCCAAAUAAACCAGCUGAAAUAAAAGAAGCCCGGGUUAGCAGAUUUAGAGGAAUCAGAAAAAUAGCACUGGUGACUCCGGAUUCAAGAAAACGCCUCCACACCACCACACAUGCCUUGAGUACAUGGCUCCCUUUUCAAACCAGCUACCUCCCGGAUUACCCGUCAAGGCAAACACAGCCUAAUGCACUCACCUCUUUCAACUGUCCAUCAACAAAGAAAAUGGUGAGUAUG